rnacentral:rRNA from 1 species
GAUGAACGCUAGCGGCAGGCUUAACACAUGCAAGUCGAGGGGUAGAGGCUUUCGGGCCUUGAGACCGGCGCACGGGUGCGUAACGCGUAUGCAAUCUACCUUUUACAGAGGGAUAGCCCAGAGAAAUUUGGAUUAAUACCUCAUAGUAUAGCUCUACCGCAUGGUAGUACUAUUAAAGUCAACGAAAGAACAACGGUAAA